rnacentral:tRNA from 1 species
GUGGUUGUAGCUCAGUGGUAGAGUGCUUGCCUAGCACGUGUGAGACACUGGGUUCCAUUCUCAGCAUCACA